UACAGAGACUGCAAGCGUUAUUCGGAUUCACUGGGCGUAAAGGGUGCGCAGGCGGCCGAGUGUGUGAGGCGUGAAAGCCCGGGGCUUAACCCCGGAAUUGCACCUCAAACUACACGGCUAGAGCAUUGGAGAGGGUAGCAGAAUUCAUGGUGUAGCAGUGAAAUGCGUAGAUAUCAUGGGGAAUACCAGAGGCGAAGGCGGCUACCUGGACAAUUGCUGACGCUCAGGCACGAAAGCGUGGGGAGCAAAAGGG
rnacentral:rRNA from 1 species